AUUUAUGUCCUGAAAGCCUGGGCGCAAAAACAGGACAGUUCGCUAGCCUAUUAGCGGAGCGAUGGGAGGGGAUUGACUGGGAGGGGAAGGGUAUACCACAUAGACUGUUUACGAGAGACCGACAAAACAUAAGCAAGGUCACGACGCAGGCUAAGCGUCGACAGGUCUAAUGAGCCAUCGAUAUUCCUACGGUCCUUUCGCCAAACACUCGAAAGAAGGAGUGCGUGACCACGGUCGCGAAAGUCUAACGAACGCGUGCGUAGUGGGGAUAUUGAGAGGUGAUAAAAAGAAACGAAAUGGAUUGAGAGAUGAGUGGUGACCAAGAAGUGUGAUUGCAGUCGAAAUCGAGAAACAUAUUACGAAGUUAUUGUGACAUCCGAGACCAUCGCACCGCUUCAGAGACCACGUCACACACCGCGGGCAAGAUGGAUGCCAGAUGUCUACACAUCCUUACUGGGUACCUUCGAUAGGCUUAGGGACCGACCAUAAAUCUGGCCAUUUUCAUAGUUAUGGUCCUUCAGACCAAGCAAGGAUCUUUCCUUUCAAGUGUCCUUUACAUUUAUUGUUUACCAAUGCUAGAUACGGGAAACUUGGUUUUUCUGACGUUCUGUACCUUCCUUUACCAACUUUCUCUUGUCCCUUAAAUUUAAGGCUUACGUUUUAAAGACAAGAAGGUUGAGCCGUAACGGAACUUUAUGUUUCUUUUCUAUGGAACUU